GUGCACAAGAUUCAUUCAUAUAUCUUUCAUUGAAUGUACUCUCCUGUGUGAUCCCAUUUUAGGUUGGUCUAAUCAAGAAAGGACACUCCUCCAUAAUAUGAUCUAGUGCAUUGCAUGCAAUGCACAUGGGUGCUGGUACAUAGUUUAGUUGAGUAUGUCCUUUGAAUUCUAGGGCUUCAACUCUAUGGGUCAAAGUUGCAAUUAAUCUUUUUUAGACUCUCUUGUGUAACUGUAUGCAUCUUCAAUUCUAGUGAAUAUCGGAUGCACAUUAAUUAUUUGAGGGUCAAUUAUAAAAUUGUUAGCUGAGGAUCUAAUUCUAGAAGAUUGAAUAGAACUAAUCGGGUAACAUAGGCCCUGCAGGAUUUUAGAUUGUCUAAUGAAAUUCAUUUCUCCCUCAGUGUCCUUAUAAGCUUGUAGGAUUUAGAUUGUGUCUGGCCAAUCAUCAUUUUAUCUUAGUAGAAAUUUUUUGAAAUUUAAUUUUUUUAUUAUUUUUUUCAUAUAUGUGAGAGAAAGAGAGAAGAAAAAAAAGAGUUCUAAAGAUGAGAGUCCUAAGGAGUCAUAGAACUAUAGACGAUAGAUGAGAGUGUUUUAGUUAGAUUUAACUUUUAAAAGCAAGCAAGUUAUCAAAUAAAUUAAAACUCUACUUAGGAUUAUUCUAAUUCUAAAUAGCUCCUAAUCGUCAAGGUUACCUUCGAGUCUUUUAAGUCAGAGGCUAAUCAACUAACUGGUCAGAUAAGUGUAAGGUCGGUGGGGGUCCCUCCGUUGCUUUUCUAGAUACUAAAUAAAUUGGCCAGAUCAACGAAUAGAACCAAUUAAGUAACCACUUUCUUUCAGGAUCUUUUUUCUGAACCGCUUGUUUAGACACCAGUUAACUGAUCAACCCUAAUCCGGUCCAACACUUAGGGUCCCUUGUCCUAAUGAGCUUGAGUUCUUUAAGGGUCAACAUCUAAUUAAUUUUAAUUUAAAGACUUAGGUCAAUGCAAUAUGAAGGGUGGUGGUUUUUGGACUAAGAAAGGAUGAUCAAAUCUCCUCCUUAUCUUGUUUAAUUGGAUUAAGUAUCCUUAAAGUAUUUUAUGGAAAGAUGCAAUGCAACAAGCAAGUUGUCCAGGCAUAUUAAGUUCUUUUAAGGUUUAUUUAGUUUCUCUAUAUUAAUUAAGUAUUAUGAGGUAUAAGGUUUGUUUCUUUUUUCUUUAUGUUAGCUUAUGUAAAGCAAGAAAAAUAACAGGUAGAUUUUAAUUAAGUUAAUUAGAUUUAAGAAGAUUUAGAGAAUCUAACUAGUGAGGA
rnacentral:lncRNA from 1 species